rnacentral:lncRNA from 1 species
CUGUGGUUUCUGCUGCUGCAGAUAGUUACAUUUACUCUUCUCCUCCACCACCUUAUGUGUAUAAGUCACCACCACCACCGUCUCCUUCACUACCUCCUCCUUACGUGUACAAGUCACCACCUCCUCCGUCUCCAUCUCCUCCACCACCAUAUGAGCACAAGGCUCCAUCUUAUAAGUAUAAGUCCCCUCCACCUCCUUCACCAUCUCCCCCACCUCCCUAUGUGUACAAAUCACCACCUCCUCCAUCACCAUCACCUCCACCACCUUACAUUUACAAAUCUCCACCACCACCCUCACCUUCCCCUCCCCCACCAUACUAUUAUAAAUCUCCUCCACCACCAUCUCCCUCACCCCCACCACCAUAUUAUUACAAGUCUCCUCCACCACCUUCUCCUUCUCCUCCCCCUCCAUACUACUAUAAAUCUCCUCCACCACCCUCUCCGUCACCUCCACCUCCUUACUACUAUAAGUCUCCUCCACCUCCCUCACAUUCCCCUCCUCCACCAUACUAUUACAAGUCUCCUCCACCACCCUCUCCCUCACCCCCACCUCCAUAUUACUACAAAUCUCCUCCACCACCCUCUCCCUCACCCCCACCUCCAUAUUAUUACAAGUCUCCCCCACCACCCUCACCAUCCCCUCCCCCACCAUACUAUUAUAAGUCUCCUCCACCCCCACAUAUACACAAGGACCCACCAUACUAUUACAAGUCCCCACCACCACCUUCACCAUCUCCUCCACCACCUUACUACUAUAAAUCUCCCCCACCACCCUCACCAUCUCCUCCACCACCAUACUACUACAAAUCUCCCCCACCACCUUCACCAUCUCCUCCACCACCAUACUACUACAAAUCUCCUCCUCCUCCAUCCCCUAUCCCCCGUACACCUUACUACUACAAGUCCCCGCCACCACCUUCACCAUCUCCUCCACCACCAUACUAUUACAAAUCUCCUCCCCCGCCAUCUCCUAUUCCCCAGACACCUUACUACUACAAGUCCCCACCACCACCUAAGUAUCUUCCACCACCAUACUAUUAUAACUCUCCUCCUCCACAUGUUGUGUAUCCUCAACCACACCCUUACCACCACUCAUUGAUUGUGAAGGUAGUGGGUAAAGUCUACAGCUUUAGGUGCUAUGAUUGGGAGUAUCCUGAAAAGUCUCAUGACAAGAAACACCUCAAAGGUACAUCACUUACUAAGGAUUGAACUUCUAUACACUAAUGAGUUUAGAGCAUGCAUGAGACUUAAUCGUUUAUCUGUUAAAAUCUUAAUUGCUUUAAAAUUAUUCAUUAAUAUUUUGAUAAAAAAUACAACUCUCUGUUUAUUUUGAUAUAUAGAUAGAUAGAUAAUUCAAAUAUAAAAUUCAAAUUAACUUUUAUCCACACGACAAUGGGCCAAUUUGAUUAAGAUUUUCCUAAAAAAUGAUUUUAUAGUAUUUUAUCUUUUUAUAAUAUUUUUAAAAAUAAAACUUCAAAUAAAAAAUUAGUUUAAAUAGUUUAUUUUAAAAUAUCGUUUUAAGUAUUUCAUCUAUUUAAUUAUUUUUGUGGACAAUGAAAUUUCAAAAAAAUGAUUAAAAUAAAAUCUAUUUUAAGAAUCUUUUUGUAAAAAUUAUUUUUGAAAGAUAUCUUUUUUUUUUAAAUUAUUUUUUAUCAUAUUAAAAUCUCUAAUAAUAAAUGUUUAAGUUAUUGAAUGUCAAAAUUAUUUUUUUAGUUGGUAAUAAAUAAAUGUAAAACAAACUUUAAUAUUUUUAAGUAAAUUCUCAUAAAAAUUUAAAUAUAUAAAAUCAAUUACUUUUUAAAAAUUUUAAAUAAUCGAAUUCAAUAUAAAUUGCUUAGAACCGGCUACAACCUGCCAAGAAUAAAGAAAACAAUCAAUAUGUCAAAUUAAUAUGUACAAUCUACCUCGUUGGAAUUUAAUAAUUGCCCCUAAUUUAAUAUUCUACUUGAAAUUGAUUGUUUAACAUGCUGCUUUUAAUAAUAAAGACCUAUAUAGUAUGUGUUUCUAUAUUUUACUCGAUCCUAAAGUAAUUUUGUUAUGGGGCAGGUGCUGUUGUUGAGGUGACAUGCAAAGCAGGAAGCAAAAUCAUCAAGGCUUAUGGUAAAACUAAGAUCAACGGAAAGUAUAGCAUCACAGUUGAGGAUUUUGACUAUGUUAAAUAUGGUGCCACAGUGUGCAAAGCUGUGCUUUAUGCUCCACCUAAAAACUCACCUUUCAACAUACUUACAAAGCUAAACCAAGGAACCCCAUUGAAGUUGAAAUCCAAAGACAAGUAUGAGGUUGUGCUUCAGGCUAAGCCAUUUGCUUAUGCUUCAAAGAAACAUUUUAAAGAAUGUGAGAAGCCCAAGCCUUCACCAACUCCAUACUACUACAAGUCACCUCCUCCUCCGGUGCCAGUUUACAAGUACAACUCACCACCUCCACCGGUCCAUUAUUAUUCUCCUCCGUAUUACUACAAAUCACCACCUCCUCCUGUAAAAACACCGCCACAUCCUUACUAUUACAAGUCUCCACCACCACCAUCACCAUCUCCUCCUCCUCCAUAUUAUUACAAAUCUCCCCCACCUCCUUCACCAUCACCUCCUCCACCUUAUUAUUAUAAAUCUCCUCCUCCACCCAAAGUGAUAUCAAACCCUCCAUACUACUAUAAGUCACCACCUCCACCAUCACCGUCACCUCCUCCACCAUACUACUAUAAGUCCCCACCUCCACCAUCACCAUCUCCACCACCCCCAUACUAUUAUAAGUCACCACCUCCACCAUCACCAUCACCUCCUCCACCAUACUACUAUAAGUCCCCACCUCCACCAUCACCAUCACCUCCUCCACCAUACUACUAUAAGUCCCCACCCCCACCAUCACCAUCCCCACCACCACCUUACUAUUAUAAGUCCCCACCUCCACCCAAAGAGAUUUCACACCCUCCAUACUACUAUAAAUCACCACCCCCACCAUCACCGUCACCUCCUCCACCAUACUACUAUAAGUCCCCACCCCCACCAUCACCAUCCCCACCACCACCUUAUUAUUAUAAGUCUCCACCUCCACCCAAAGAGAUUUCACACCCUCCAUACUAUUAUAAGUCACCACCCCCGCCAUCACCAUCCCCUCCUCCGCCAUACUACUAUAAGUCACCACCCCCACCAUCUUCAUCCCCACCCCCACCAUAUUAUUACAAAUCUCCUCCACCACCAUCACCAUCACCACCACCUCCCUACUAUUACAAAUCACCUCCACCUCCUUCACCAUCACCACCACCUCCCUACUACUACAAAUCACCUCCACCACCAUCCCCAUCGCCACCACCUCCAUACUACUACAAAAGUCCCCCUCCACCAUCCCCCUCUCCUCCUCCCCCAUAUUACUACAAAUCUCCACCACCACCAUCACCAUCUCCACCUCCUCCCUACUAUUACAAAUCACCUCCUCCACCAUCACCAUCACCGCCACCUCCUUACUAUUACAAAUCUCCCCCACCUCCAUCUCCAUCUCCACCACCACCUUAUCAUUAUCAAAGUCCUCCUCCACCAUCUCCCAUUUCUCAUCCUCCCUACUAUUACAAAUCCCCUCCACCACCGUCGCCAUCUCCUCCACCUCCUUACCACUAUGUAAGUCCUCCACCACCAGUAAAGUCUCCUCCACCACCAGUUUAUAUAUAUGCUUCACCACCACCACCUAUCUACAACUAAGUUCAAAUUACAGAUGCACCAUUGAUGAUGAAUCAUGUAAGUUUAUCAUAUUUACUUUUAUGAAUGUAUGUGUGUUUUAUAAUAUAAUACUUAUAAAAGUUCUUAUUCGUGUUUGUUUUCAGGUUCCAGUUUUCAACUACGAAUAAAGUCAAGCUCCGUUUGGAGCAAAGUGAAAUAUCUAGCUUCGUACCCAUAUUUAUUAAAUAAAAGUCAGGAUGCAUCAUCUUUGAGCUACAAUAUUUGUCAUCGAGACAAAAUUUAUUUUAUUUCUUUGAUGACCAUCUUGCACUUCCUGAUCUUACUCUUUUCAAGUGACAGGCAAAUCAAAAUGGAGAAGCGUGAUUGAUUUAUUUGUGAUCUCUUAUAUUUAUUUGUGCAUAGAUCAAUAUGUACGUAUAUGAUAGUUUUCUAUUUAUUGAGAAAUUUUUUAUUGUAAUCUGUUAUCGUGUUUGCCAAAAGGUGUUAGCAAUAAAGAAUCGCAUUCAAUUUCUGCCUACACUAUUAAGUUUGUAUUUUUCUAACCACAAUCGUUCAUGCGAAUGUGAUGUAGCUGUUUAAAAUAGCUCCAAAUGAUGCAUAAAAAGCUUUCAAUCAAAUGAGACAGGGUCACGGUUACUCUUGUACCUAUUUAGUUAUCCAUACAUUUAUAUUCAUAGGGGUUAUAUGGUAUAGCUGCACUUAAUUAAUUGUUUAUGUAUGCAAGCUUUUCCUUUCCAUCAAUAAGCAAUGGUUAGAAGCAUUCUUCUACAUAUUCCUCUCUACUCUUCUAGAAUGAAUUGUUUAUUUCAUGUAAGAUGGUAUCAAAAGAUUCAAAACACACCACCUAAUGCUGCUAUGUAUAAAUAAAGUAUGACUACAAACUUUAUGACCCCUAAUUGAAAGAGAACUUAAAGUUUCAAGGUUUCUACACACAUUUUCAAGGAAGUAGGUUCCAAAUAUAACAUUAUCAUUCUCUGUACAAAUAUGACACUUCCAAGUAUUAUUUAUUGUAAGGAAUAGAAUGUACUCGUGAAUAGGGAAGACUUUUCAACAUCAAGUGGAUGAUGUUUUGCCUAAACUCGGCUGUUAUUGUUAACAUGGUGAAGUCUGGCUUUUUUGAAAAAUGGUUUUAGCAAACAAUCUAAUUGGAGAAUAUCAGUAGUUCAUGGCUUUAGACAAACCAACUGUUGUGCAUAUUUACUAGUUUGAUAGUUAAUUAAGGUCAUUCCUCCACAACUUUUUGAUUGGAUUCUAGUUUUCCUUCUUUGAGUACUUAAAAUUGAUAGAAACGUCAACUUUUUAAAUACUUUUUACUUAUAUUUCAUUUUAGAUUUCAUUUUCGAUGGAGUAUUUAUUAACCAAUGAUAUACGCAAGAGUCUCCCUCGUUUGAUUUCUUAAUUCAAUCAAUUUUUAUAUAUAAAAAAAGGACCCGAUAAUACAUCAAUGAUUGUAUUAAGAUAACUUCAGUUUGAAAAAUUGUACAACCCUAUACUACCUAUUACCUAAAUUAAACCCGAGAAUUUUAGGACCGUAAAGGUGGGUGGAGUGGUCGUCCAGAUAACUUUAACAUAAUUAGCUCUCCAAAAAUGGAAAAGUAAUCCUUUAUUUAAGCUAUGAUAUACACGCUUAUCUGCCCAACAUUAUAGUAAGAAUCCAAAAGGACUCACCUAAUCCCUCCAAUCCCUUUCUCUUUCUAGCUUUUCCACCCAACCACUGGUUCCACAAUUAUGGAAUCAAUAUCCAAUUAUGUUUACGAGGCGUGUCUAAUAUAUAGACCUCUCAGAAAAUGGUCAAGACUGUUACUAUUUUUUAGUAAAAAAAUAAUUUUAUAAUAAUAAAAAAUAAAAAGAAAAUAUAAUAUUUCAAUAAAAUUUAAUUAAAAAUAGUGAAGUUCACCAUUAGACCUAGACUAUAUUGGACAGUCCUAUCUUUAAGACUAAUUAUUGUGUGAAAAAUCAUCUAAUCGGAUUUUGUUACAUAACUCAAUACGAGUUGAGAUCUUAUCAAUUUCUCAAAAAAUAUAGAAUAUUCAAUUAUUAUAAUUUUGUAUUUCUAUAUUGACACACAUUUUUAAAACAUGUGACAUAAAUUAAACAUUUAUUAACUUUAUAUACACCAACAAUAUAGUAAUUAAACAAAUGAAAUGGAGAGGAUAUGAGGCUCAGCUGUCCUAUUACACGGCAUUGACUACCUUAAACAAUGUGUGAGAGAGAGGAGAACACGAUGGCAUUGUCCAACUUAAGUAUUAGUAGCUUCACAUGGAGACACAAUGCACCCAUUUUAUGGUAAUUUUAACAAAUGGGGCAUAUGUUCUGUCAACAAAAACAAAAAUAUGGGGCAGAUGCAACGAAAGUUACUGCCACCUUGGCCUUAAGAAAGAGUAAAUAAAUUGAUAUGUUGGACAAAACCAAAACGUUACUACAUUUCUCUUCUAGCUAGCAAAUCCAAAUCAGACAAUGGUGCUACAUUUAAUAUGUACAUUUCCACUAACAAUGGUGAAAAAAAAGAUAAUUGUCAAAUUUUAACAUCAAAGGGAGAAUUAAUCUCACGCCAUUUAAGAAGAAAAAUAUGAAAUAGAUAGUGGGAGAACACACUUGUCCAUCUUAUGUGAAAAUUUCAGAUGAUACGAUCCAUUCCUAGAAAUUAGAAUCACAUGUAAUUUUAAUCUGGAAGAUUGACUUUUCAGAAAAAUAAAACUAGAUUUGUUCACAAUAUCAUAGAGGAAUUUACAUGAUUUCCUCCCGUUGAAUUGUAGGACUAUUUCUUAUUGGCAAAGGCUUGGUUGUCCAUUUAAAAUAUUAUAUCACAUUAUCCAACAGCACCAAACCCAAUUUUCAUAACGGUAGUUUGCACGUUUCAUUCAUUUAUUGAUUCCAUAAUUUUAUGUUACAAGUCGACAUUGAUCAGUUGCUAAAAACUAUGCAACGACCAAAAAUAACUAGUAGUAUAUAUUUUAACACCGAGAUUUAUCAGACAGGAACAUAUGUAAAGACAAAUCAAAUGAAUGCCCAGUUUAAGUCAGAAUAAUAUAACACAUAAUAUAGUGUACACAGUUAAAAAAAAAAAAUCAAAUUUCACAAGACAAUAAAUGUAAUAUAAUUUUAUGCGCAGCUAACAAUUUUUCACUAGCUUUCGCCAUUAUGAUGUUUUGACUCUGUGUGCAUAUUUCAGUUAUAAGAUUAUUCCGUUUUAUGUUACUGAAAUACUAAUUCAACCAUUUGGCAUUGACAUAUUUCCAUCAUGAGUGCAUGUUUCUUUUUGUUUUAUUUUUCCUUUCUUUCUUUUGAAUAAUUUCUUCCUUUGUUACUAAAAUAACUUGAUCUUGAUAUACAUGAGAUAAAGCCUACACCUGAUACAAGGUAAAUGCAUUGGACAAAUAAAGCAAAAAACAAAGCUAUUCAGAAAGUGUAUUGCACAAACAGAGAAACUACUAAGAAAGGUUAAACUUUUUACUUUUAUAAUAAAUAUGAAAUUUGCUAAUUAUUUUUCCUGGUUAUUGUUCUUUUUAUUUUCUCCUUCAAAAUCAGCAAUAUGCAAUUGUGCAUUUCAUCCGGGAAACAUCAUCACAUGUUCAUCUCAUAAUUGAGAAGUCACAUAAUUUGGAUUACUCUAUCACAUUCAAAAAGUACACAUACAAAACAUGAAAAGUCAACUAUACAUUUCACGAUUAAAUGAAGAACACAAAAAUUCCAACCAAAGCUUGCAAUAGCUACCAUCAUGGGCUAGAACAAAAAUAAUGCCCAUUCAUGGAUAAGUAAGGCAAAACAGACUAGAUUCACAUUCCCUUCCCUCAAAAACAAUACAAAGUAAAAUUGAAAAAGAGAACAAGAGAGAAAAUGGUAAAAGAAAAAAAGCAUUUUGACAGUUACUUUUUUGUCAAGAUAAGCAACUCAGAAGGGAAGCUAUGAGGAAACUAUAGAAGAAUAGGACACAUUACUUCAAGUUCUCUAAUCAUUCCAUUUUGUCAAGAUGCUUAUUUAUAUUUUAAUUAUGACAAAAUACAUCUUAUAGUCUUUUAAGUUACACGAAAAUAUCAAAUUGGUCAUUUAACUUUUUUUGUAUCAAUUUAUGUUUGUAAAAGUUACACUGUUGAACUAUUUUUAGUCCCAACCUCAUUUCAAUCAUUUUUAGUUAAAUAUUUUUAAAUUGUAUUAUGAGUUUUGUAUCAAUCAUAAGAGGAAUAAUAUAUUAAAUUUUAUGUGAUUGCAUGAUGUAGAUUAAGAGAUUUUAGUGUUUAAUUUCAAAAAACACUAAAAUGUAUCUCACUCAAAUUCUAUUUUGUUUAAUUAUUUUUCUAAAAGUUGAUUGAAGGUCUAUGUUCUUAUGAUUAUUGCAAUCAAAAGCCUUUAAAAAUUAUAUGAGUUUAUCGAAAAAAUUAAGAGAAUUUUGAAUUUCAAUUUUGCUGAUGUAAAAUUAAGAUUAUCGGCGUAAACAUUUACAAACAUAAAAGGCAAACUUAACACUAAUGAAAAUAAAAGACUACGUUGUUACAACAAAAAAGGACUAAAUUGUUAAAAAUAAAAAAUAAAGGACUAAUUUUUAGUUUUCUUAUAACUUUAAAGACCACGGGAGAUAGAAAUAGUGACGGGUUACGGCCAUUGGAACUAGGAAGUAUAACAAUGUAAUGCGAAAGAAGUUGCCAACUGGGAGCAUUAUUUAAAGGACUUAAAUCAAAAUGAGUCAAAUCAAUAUUUGAAUUGGUCCUUAAUGAUAGCUGCCUCUUUACGACUUACUCUCACUACACUAUAAGUAUUAAGUCUCACAAGCAGCUUUUCACAUAAUCACAAACUCCAAAACCUCUCUUCUACCCUUCCACGGGAGAUAGAAAUAGUGACGGGUUACGGCCAUUGGAACUAGGAAGUAUAACAAUGUAAUGCGAAAGAAGUUGCCAACUGGGAGCAUUAUUUAAAGGACUUAAAUCAAAAUGAGUCAAAUCAAUAUUUGAAUUGGUCCUUAAUGAUAGCUGCCUCUUUACGACUUACUCUCACUACACUAUAAGUAUUAAGUCUCACAAGCAGCUUUUCACAUAAUCACAAACUCCAAAACCUCUCUUCUACCCUUCCAGCUUUUCCACCAUAUCAAAGAAUAUUAGUGAGGAUACAAUAACAGAAGCAUUGGAGGUGACAACUUUUUCUUUCUACCCAUGACAGAUAGAACCAGUUGCCCCAGAAGGGAUUAUAUCUGGCCACCAAUGGCAACGGCAUUGGCCAUUGUGUUAAUUUCCACAACUGUGGUUUCUGUUGCUGCUGAUAGUUACAUUUACUCUUCUCCACCACCACCUCCUUACGUGUACAAGUCACCACCUCCUCCAUCACCAUCAACUCCAACACAUUACAUUUACAAGUCUCCACCACCUCCACCCUAUGAGCACAAGUCUCCAUCUUAUGAGUACAAGUCUCCCCCACCUCCUUCACCAUCACCC